CCUACGGGUGGCUGCAGUGGGGAAUAUUGGACAAUGGGCGAAAGCCUGAUCCAGCAAUGCCGCGUGAGUGAUGAAGGCCUUAGGGUUGUAAAGCUCUUUUACCCGGGAUGAUAAUGACAGUACCGGGAGAAUAAGCCCCGGCUAACUCCGUGCCAGCAGCCGCGGUAAUACGGAGGGGGCUAGCGUUGUUCGGAAUUACUGGGCGUAAAGCGCACGUAGGCGGUUAUUCAAGUCAGAGGUGAAAGCCUGGAGCUCAACUCCAGAACUGCCUUUGAAACUAGAUAACUAGAAUCAUGGAGAGGUGAGUGGAAUUCCGAGUGUAGAGGUGAAAUUCGUAGAUAUUCGGAAGAACACCAGUGGCGAAGGCGGCUCACUGGACAUGUAUUGACGCUGAGGUGCGAAAGCGUGGGGAGCAAACAGGAUUAGAUACCCAAGUAGUC
rnacentral:rRNA from 1 species